rnacentral:rRNA from 1 species
AGGAUAAACGCUGGCGGCGUGCUUCAGGCAUGCAAGUCGAACGAGCACUUCGGUGCUAGUGGCGGACGGGUGAGUAACACGUAAGCAACCUGCCCGGAAGUGGGGGAAUAACUUGCCGAAAGGCGAGCUAAUACCGCAUGUGAUGUUCCUUCCCUGGAGGGAUCAUUAAAAGGCGAAAGUCGCUUCUGGAGGGGCUUGCGGUCGAUUAGCUAGUUGGUGGGGUAAUGGCCUACCAAGGCGACGAUCGAUAGCUGGUCUGAGAGGACGGUCAGCCACACGGGGACUGAGAUACGGCCCCGACUCCUACGGGAGGCAGCAGCUAGGAAUCUUGGGAAUGGGCGAAAGCCUGACCCAGCAACGCCGCGUGGGCGAUGAAGGCCUUCGGUCGUAAAGCCCUUUUGCAGGGGACGAUGAUGACGGUACCCUGCGAAUAAGCCACGGCUAACUACGUGCCAGCAGCCGC